rnacentral:rRNA from 1 species
GACGAACGCUGGCGGCGUGCUUAACACAUGCAAGUCGAACGAUGAAGAAAAGAAUCGAAGCUUCGGCAGAAAUUCAUUUCGGAUUAGUGGCAGACGGGUUAGUAACGCGUGAGCAACCUACCUCUUACAAAGGGAUAGCCUCGGGAAACCGGGAUUAAUACCAUAUAACAUUGCGACGAAGCAUUUUGAUGCAAUCAAAGCUACGGCGGUAAGAGAUGGGCUCGCGUCCCAUUAACCGGAUAGUGAGGUAACGGCUCACCAUAGUGACGAUGGGUAACCGGCCUGAGAGGGUGAACGGUCACACUGAAACUGAGACACGGUCGAGACUCCUACGGGAGGCAGCAGUGGGGAAUAUUGCACAAUGGAGGGAAUUAUGAUGCAGCGACGCCGCGUGAGUGAUGAAGGAAUUCGUUUCGUAAAACUCUGUUCUAUGGGAAGAAAAGGACUGUACCAUAGGAGAAAGCUCCGGCUAAAUACGUG